GGUAAAUAUUAUUCUUGAAUAUAGGAUUACAGGAAAGACCAAUCUCGUUGUGAUACUCCACAGAAUCUUCUCAAGAAAGAUUGCUUAGAAAAUGAGAUAGUAAAUCCUUCAAGUAGUAAGAAAAUAAUUGAGAACAUUGAAUUAAGUGAUGCUGGAGCAGUUGUAGGAUCAGUUACUCAACUAAAGCCACAACAUAUAAAACUUUCACUUAGACCUAGGUUUUCCAGAAGUUGCCAUACAUAGGAAAAAUGAACAAUUUGAGCAAAAUGUAUCUUUGUGUAUAAAAUAUUCUCUAUAUGUUGGCCAUUUCUUUGAAACUUGGACGAACUUGUAUGUACAAAGCCAUUUCUUUUGACAGUGGCAUUCUUGAAGGAUAUACAAAUAUAAACAUCAAAUAACUCUUACUUGUUAGUUUUGAUUAAUACCAAAUGAGCUGUUGGAUUGUAUUGGGUUGUAUUAUGAUUACAUUUAAUAAUUAGAUUUAAAGUAGUUUUGCAUAGAGGUAAGCAAUUAAUUCACCAUAAU